GAAAUUUUCGUGGAUUAACGAUAGAUGUGAUCCGUUGUUGUCGUUCUUCUAUUCUCCACGGUGUAGCCGAUUCAACUUCGCUACUAUGCUGAAUGCGACAUGACCUGCAUGCAAAUUCCUCAUGUUGUUACAAUACGAAAAUCCGUCAGGGGAUUUGGAAGUAUACCAGCUCGCUGUAUUACGUAGAGUUCGGUGGAAGCCUUCGGUAAAUUGAGCGAGACGCAUUUUCUUGGAAAGUCUAAUGAUUAAAGGUUUUCAUUCUUGGAACAGUAAAUUUUCAUCCUCCAUUGUAGCAUUUUUAAAUCGCAUAUAACUUCGCAAAACAAACAUAUUUAAAUAUUUGUAGACAUCUUUUAUCAAUACGCAUAUGCAAUCGAUAAAUAAGAUAUACAGAAACAUUUCUUCGGUAUAACAUAUG
rnacentral:misc_RNA from 1 species